UCUUAUUUGAGAGUUUUGGUUGAAAGAAACACAACUAUAUUCACACUUCCUAAUAUUUAAUCUUACAUAAAAGAGAUUUGUUGAGAGACACUCCUUAUCUUUUUUGGAAUUCUCAGGCACCCUAGCAAAAGUUCCACCUAUAUCUCACUCUAUAUAUGGUGCAAAGGAUGUUAUUGUUCCAGAAAAGUUCAGUAAACCCCCAGUUUUUCACAGUUCAGUUAUCACUGGUUCAAUUUUACAUGCUUUUUUUUUAAUGGAACCUAUGUUUAUAAUGCAGGAAAUCCUACUUUAUUGCAGAAAAAUUGGCUAUUAUAUUUGAUAAAAUACAAGCUAAAAUGUGGCAUGGGUUUAAGAAGUACCCAGACAAGGGUUUAGGUGCAUUUGUAAUGUAUAUUUGGCAAUAAUGCCUGCUGAUAAGAUGGCAGAGGCAAUGGCAACAGUCAGUCAGCUGUUGGCAAGCAGAGUGGGCACCAGCUGGUGUUGGUUGGUCAGCCAUGCAAGCAGUAAUUUUCUUUGCCACUUUCAUUGUUUGUGGAUUGGCGUAUUUGGAUUGGUAGCAGUUUGGCAUGUUCGUGAAAUUUGUGAAGAUAAACAGCAGUGAUAGCAGUGAUCCUCAGCACAGUACUUUUGAUCAUACAAGGAAGCAGGAGAAGCAUGUGGAUGAAUGGAAAAGCGUGCAAGCAAAGAAGAAAAGGAACCUUGGCAAGACUUAAAUUUGAGUCCCUACACCAAGCAACAGGUGUAGGUACUCAAGUACGUCUGGCCAAGGUUCCUUCAAGAUUCCUUUUCUGAGCCCUCUGGCGAGACACCAGCCUCUGGCACUUCCCUCAACACAUCAACAUUAACAGGUAAGUUUUGUGGUUGCAGCCAGAAGGAAGAAUCUACUGGACUGCGCUGGAGCACCGUAGAUUAAGCCGCUGGAUCUUUAUCCCUUAUUCUAACUUUUGACAUAAUUUGUUAAUUCCUAAAUAUCCUAUCCACCCAACUCUAUGUUUCUUUCUAUGUAUUAUUAAACUUUAUCUAUCACCUUACUAUUACAACUUUGCUAUGUUUUCUAUAAACAAUGUAAAAUAUCUUAUGUACCAACUUUUGUUUUUCAUUAAAAAUAAUGUUUGUUAAUUUCCAAGGAACAUAACGUAGAUAUUGUAUAUGAAUUAGUAUUCAUCUUAGGGUCACAGCACAUGGUUUAAAUUAUUAGGGCUUAGUUGUGUUUCUCCAAGGGAAGGUUGUUACAAUAAGAUAAGAAGGGGCAAUUUAUAAGUUUUCUCUCUCUCUCUCUCUAGUAUUAUGAUAGAUAUACCUCCCUUGAGAGUCUGGGUGUUAGGGAGAGCUGCUGUUCUACCUGUGCAUUUGUGAUACGAGUGAGUGUGUGAGUGAGGUUAUGUGUUAGCUGUUCUGAAAUAACAAUAUACCUCAAAACUAUAGUUAAAUGAAAAUUAUAACCAAAAAUAAAAAUAGAAAUUAGCAAA